GGGAUAGAAUUCCAGGAGUAGCGGUGAAAUGCGUAGAUAUCUGGAGGAAUACCAAAGGCGAAGGCAGUCCCCUGGUCCGAUACUGACACUGAGGUACGAAAGCGUGGGGAGCAAACAGGAUUAGAUACCCUGGUAGUCCACGCCCUAAACGAUGUCGAUUAGCCAUUGGAAGGACCCCUUUUCCUUUCAGUGACGUAGCUAACGCGUUAAAUCGACCGCCUGGGAAGUACGACCGCAAGGUUAAAACUCAAAGGAAUUGACGGGGACCUGAACAAGCGGUGAAUGAUGUGGAUUAAUUCGAUGCUACGCGAAGAACCUUACCUACCUUUGACAUGGCCAGAGUUCUACCGAGAGGCGGAAGUACUCGUAAGAGGAUUGGCGCACAGGUGCUGCAUGGUUGUCGUCAGUUCGUGUCGUGAGAUGUUGGGUUCAGUCCCGCAACGAACGCAACCCUUAUCUUUAAUUGCUCCUAUUUUAACAGGCACUUUAAAGAAACUGCCAAUGAUAAGUUGGAGGAAGGUGGGGAUCACGUCAAGUCCGCAUGGCCUCUAUAGGUAGGGCUUCACACGUCAUACAAUGGUUAGAACAAAGAGCUGCAAAUUCGUAAGAAGGAGCCAAUCUCACAAACCUAACCUCAGUUCGAAUUGCGGUCUGCAACUCGAGCGCAUGAAGCCGGAAUCGCUAGUAAUCGUGGAUCAGAAUGCCACGGUGAAUACGUUCUUAGGUCUU
rnacentral:rRNA from 1 species